GUCCACACCGUAAACGAUGGGCACUAGGUGUGGGGGGUGUCGACUCCCUCCGUGCCGAAGCUAACGCAUUAAGUGCCCCGCCUGGGGAGUACGGCCGCAAGGCUAAAACUCAAAGGAAUUGACGGGGGCCCGCACAAGCAGCGGAGCAUGUGGUUUAAUUCGACGCAACGCGAAGAACCUUACCUGGGCUUGACAUGUUCCUGACCUCCCUGGAAACAGGGCUUCCCUUCGGGGCAGGAUCACAGGUGGUGCAUGGCUGUCGU
rnacentral:rRNA from 1 species